GUAUGUGGAUGAUGAGAAAGAGAAUAGUUAUCCUUGUCUGAUGCUUAAAUGCUGAUCUUUUCAAAUAUGACACGUGG
rnacentral:snoRNA from 1 species